rnacentral:rRNA from 1 species
UACGGAGGGUGCAAGCGUUAUCCGGAAUCACUGGGUUUAAAGGGUGCGUAGGCGGCUUAGUAAGUCAGUGGUGAAAGACUGUGGCUUAACCAUGGAAUUGCCAUUGAUACUGCUGAGCUUGAAUCAGGUUGAGGUUGGCGGAAUGUGACAUGUAGCGGUGAAAUGCUUAGAUAUGUCAUGGAACACCGAUUGCGAAGGCAGCUUACUACACAGUUAUUGACGCUGAGGCACGAAAGCGUGGGGAUCAAACAGG